CCCGGCUUAGCUCAGUUGGUAGAGCGGCGGACUGUAGAGAGUUCAACGGUGAAUUCGCCGUAAUCCGCAGGUCUCUGGUUCGAAUCCGGAAGCCGGGA
rfam:Thermoplasma acidophilum DSM 1728 complete genome